AGUCUACCUGCCCACUGAAUUUAUUUAAAUGGCCGCAGUAUCCUAACUGUGCAAAGGUAGCAUAAUCAUUAGUCUUUUAAUUGAAGGCUGGUAUGAAUGGUUGGACGAGAUAUUAACUGUUUCAUAAAAAUUUAUAAUAGAAUUUUAUUUUUUAGUCAAAAAGCUAAAAUAAAAUUAAAAGACGAGAAGACCCUAUAAAUCUUUAUAUAUAAAUUAUUAGAAUUUUGUAGAUUUUUUUUAUUAUAAUAGUUGAUUAUAUUUUAUUGGGGUGAUAUUAAAAUUUAAUAAACUUUUAAUUGUUUAAAUCAUUAAUUUAUGAAUAAUUGAUCCGUUAAUAACGAUUAAAAAAAUAAGUUACUUUAGGGAUAACAGCGUAAUUUUUUUGGAGAGUUCAUAUCGAUAAAAAAGAUUGCGACCUCGAUGUUGGAUUAAGAUAUAAUUUUAGGUGUAGCCGCUUAAAUUUUAAGUCUGUUCGACUUUUAAAUUCUUA
rnacentral:rRNA from 1 species